GAACCUUGCACUUGCCCUCCUUAGACUUCAUACAGUUCUUGCUGGCCCACUCUUCCUGCUUGUCUCUGAAUCCGACAAAGGGCUCUCCCUUCUGACAAUUCCACCUCAUCAUCCAGUGUGGCAUCAUCAGCAAACUUGCAGUCCUACCUGGAACAAACUCAGAGCCUUCUGGUUCAUAAAAGUGCUCUGCAGUCAAAGGAUGACCUUGUAACUGAAUACAGCUACUCCAAAGACAGGAUCAGUUCAAAUGUUCCCACAAUGGGACAGCCUAGAAGACAAACUCCUUUGGAAAGCUCCAUGUAGCUGUGGACAGAAAAGCUUUUCAAAGGUUUCUAAGGCUCUAACGCAGUCUUCCUUCUUCAUUACUAUCCUGAAAGCAUCAAGGAUACGGGAAUUACCUGGUGGAAAUUCUAGUUCUGCGGUGUUGAAACUCACAUUUGUACAAGGCUGAUCCAUGUGAGCCGUGACAGUGAACAAGAUAGACUGUCAGACUGAUUCUUGAUGACAUGCAAACAAUUUGUUCUGCUAAAACUUAUUUAAAAAGGUGCCAAGUGAAUGAACACAACUGCUGUAAGCCCCACCUUAAAGUAAAAGGGAGAGGCCGAUGGACAAAGCACUUCUUUCUGUGUCAGCAGGAAGAUGUUUGCAAACAGGGAAAGAGCUGAGUGCUGUCAGAAGCAAAAUAUAUUCUUCACAAAGUAGCUUUGCUCAGUUGACCGAGUUUGUUCUGAUGAUAUAAUAAAUCCAUCUUUUAAAUGUACUGCUAAACCUCUGCAGCCACAGAAAGCAAAGGGCUAAUGCGGUGCAAACAGUCUCCAAAAUGACACUAUCCCUAUAAAAAAAAAUUAAACAAGCAACAGAAAACACCACCAACUAACAAGCAAGGAAAUAGAUUUGAACUGGUAAUGAUUUCAUCCCAGAUUUCUAGAAUACACUUGAUGCUAACUACAAUAGUAUAGUGAGUAUCAGAUCUAGCAUAAGGUUGGACCAGAUGAAAUGUGUACUCCUGAAUGUUGUUACAUGGCAUAGUAGUGAUAUUGUUGCUCAGAAUCAGUGUCAGAAUAUGAAACAAGAGUACCACAGUCCAAAUAAAUAAAUAAAUAUAGGAAAAAGAAAA